AAAUUGAAGAGUUUGAUCAUGGCUCAGAUUGAACGCUGGCGGCAGGCCUAACACAUGCAAGUCGAACGGUAACAGGAAGCAGCUUGCUGCUUUGCUGACGAGUGGCGGACGGGUGAGUAAUGUCUGGGAAACUGCCUGAUGGAGGGGGAUAACUACUGGAAACGGUGGCUAAUACCGCAUAACGUCGCAAGACCAAAGAGGGGGACCUUCGGGCCUCUUGCCAUCAGAUGUGCCCAGAUGGGAUUAGCUUGUUGGUGAGGUAACGGCUCACCAAGGCGACGAUCCCUAGCUGGUCUGAGAGGAUGACCAGCCACACUGGAACUGAGACACGGUCCAGACUCCUACGGGAGGCAGCAGUGGGGAAUAUUGCACAAUGGGCGCAAGCCUGAUGCAGCCAUGCCGCGUGUAUGAAGAAGGCCUUCGGGUUGUAAAGUACUUUCAGCGGGGAGGAAGGUGUUGUGGUUAAUAACCGCAGCAAUUGACGUUACCCGCAGAAGAAGCACCGGCUAACUCCGUGCCAGCAGCCGCGGUAAUACGGAGGGUGCAAGCGUUAAUCGGAAUUACUGGGCGUAAAGCGCACGCAGGCGGUCUGUCAAGUCGGAUGUGAAAUCCCCGGGCUCAACCUGGGAACUGCAUUCGAAACUGGCAGGCUUGAGUCUUGUAGAGGGGGGUAGAAUUCCAGGUGUAGCGGUGAAAUGCGUAGAGAUCUGGAGGAAUACCGGUGGCGAAGGCGGCCCCCUGGACAAAGACUGACGCUCAGGUGCGAAAGCGUGGGGAGUAAACAGGAUUAGAUACCCUGGUAGUCCACGCCGUAAACGAUGUCUACUUGGAGGUUGUGCCCUUGAGGCGUGGCUUCCGGAGCUAACGCGUUAAGUAGACCGCCUGGGGAGUACGGCCGCAAGGUUAAAACUCAAAUGAAUUGACGGGGGCCCGCACAAGCGGUGGAGCAUGUGGUUUAAUUCGAUGCAACGCGAAGAACCUUACCUGGUCUUGACAUCCACAGAACUUUCCAGAGAUGGAUUGGUGCCUUCGGGAACUGUGAGACAGGUGCUGCAUGGCUGUCGUCAGCUCGUGUUGUGAAAUGUUGGGUUAAGUCCCGCAACGAGCGCAACCCUUAUCCUUUGUUGCCAGCGGUCCGGCCGGGAACUCAAAGGAGACUGCCAGUGAUAAACUGGAGGAAGGUGGGGAUGACGUCAAGUCAUCAUGGCCCUUACGACCAGGGCUACACACGUGCUACAAUGGCGCAUACAAAGAGAAGCGACCUCGCGAGAGCAAGCGGACCUCAUAAAGUGCGUCGUAGUCCGGAUUGGAGUCUGCAACUCGACUCCAUGAAGUCGGAAUCGCUAGUAAUCGUGGAUCAGAAUGCCACGGUGAAUACGUUCCCGGGCCUUGUACACACCGCCCGUCACACCAUGGGAGUGGGUUGCAAAAGAAGUAGGUAGCUUAACCUUCGGGAGGGCGCUUACCACUUUGUGAUUCAUGACUGGGGUGAAGUCGUAACAAGGUAACCGUAGGGGAACCUGCGGUUGGAUCACCUCCUUA
rnacentral:rRNA from 1 species